UGGGGAAUUUUGGACAAUGGGCGCAAGCCUGAUCCAGCCAUGCCGCGUGUGGGAAGAAGGCCUUCGGGUUGUAAACCACUUUUGUCAGGGAAGAAACGGCUCUUACUAAUAUUAGGAGCUAAUGACGGUACCUGAAGAAUAAGCACCGGCUAACUACGUGCCAGCAGCCGCGGUAAUACGUAGGGUGCAAGCGUUAAUCGGAAUUACUGGGCGUAAAGCGUGCGCAGGCGGCUUUGCAAGACAGAUGUGAAAUCCCCCGGCUCAACCUGGGAACUGCAUUUGUGACUGUAUAGCUAGAGUACGGUAGAGGGGGAUGGAAUUCCGCGUGUAGCAGUGAAAUGCGUAGAUAUGCGGAGGAACACCGAUGGCGAAGGCAAUCCCCUGGACCUGUACUGACGCUCAUGCACGAAAGCGUGGGGAGCAAACAGGAUUAGAUACUCAUGUAGUCCCUGAGCGGGCUGGCAAGGCG
rnacentral:rRNA from 1 species